rnacentral:lncRNA from 1 species
CUUCCUGCCCUCAUCCAUCAACGUCUCAGGGGAGUAUCGGCCCAACUCCAGGAACUUACAGGCAUAUUCUGACACCGUCAUGUUCCCUUGGACCAACUAGACAAACUCCAUCUCCUUAAGAUAUCGGAUGUGCUCUGGGAGAUACUCUGCAUGGAAGGCUGCUAAAAACUGUUCCCAAGUGAUUGGAAAAGGCAAGGUGGUCUACUUGAGUUCCCACCAGCGAUCUGCUUCUCCCACCAGCAUGUAAGUAG